CUCUACGGAUGUUCCUCUUCCUGUGUGAGGUAGGGUCGUACUCUACGGAUGUUCCUCUUCCUGUGUGAGGUAGGGUCGUACUCUACAGAUGUUCCUCUUCCUGUGUGAGGUAGGGUCGUACUCUACGGAUGUUCCUCUUCCUGUGUGAGGGAGGGUCGUACUCUACGGAUGUUCCUCUUCCUGUGUGAGGUAGGGUCGUACUCUACGGAUGUUCCUCUUCCUGUGUGAGGUAGGGUCGUACUCUACGGAUGUUCCUCUUCCUGUGUGAGGUAGGGUCGUACUCUACGGAUGUUCCUCUUCCUGUGUGAGGUAGGGUCGUACUCUACGGAUGUUCCUCUUCCUGUGUGAGGUAGGGUCGUACUCUACGGAUGUUCCUCUUCCUGUGUGAGGUAGGGUCGUACUCUACAGAUGUUCCUCUUCCUGUGUGAGGUAGGGUCGUACUCUACAGAUGUUCCUCUUCCUGUGUGAGGUAGGGUCGUACUCUACGGAUGUUCCUCUUCCUGUGUGAGGUAAGGUCGUACUCUACAGAUGUUCCUCUUCCUGUGUGAGGUAGGGUCGUACUCUACAGAUGUUCCUCUUCCUGUGUGAGGUAGGGUCGUACUCUACGGAUGUUCCUCUUCCUGUGUGAGGUAGGGUCGUACUCUACAGAUGUUCCU